ACCACCUGGUAUUUUGGACCCAUGAUUGCCUGAUAAUUGUGUCAGACUUAAAAAAAUGAUAUAGUGAGUGGUUUGAGUUUUGAUAGUGUAAAUGGAAUAAGAAAUAAAAUUUGAGAGAGCCAUCAAAAUGAGAGUGUUUUGUAGUAUAUUAUCAAAUAAUUUUUUUUGGAGUGGAUUGUAUAUGGAGUUUUUUGUAGUGUACAACCAAAUUUCGGGUUUGAAUUAUAUACUGUCAUAUUUUAUUGGAGUUGAAUUAUAUACUGUCAAGUUCACCCUAAAGGUUAUGCUAUUAAGGGUUGGAUGAUUAUUUGCACCAUAGAUGGCUAAUCGAGUUGUCCAAUAUGCAGAUGGACAUUAUCUAUGGUGCAAUAGUGUUUAUUCCACAACUAGGUUCUGAUUGGAACCGGUUGGUAGAGUCUCCAUGCAAAGGUAUCUCAUGGGACCUCAUGGGACAAUGGAGGAAGAAAAGGUUUAGAGUAGAAGACGAUUAAUUAUGAAGAAACUAGUACCGAUGCCACGUAGACCUGAUUCAAGCAGAAGACGAUUAAUUGUGAAGAAACUAGUAUUGAAAAUAAUUGUAUUAUUUCUUAAGAAUGUUAUAUUUAUCGUUUUAAAAAUAAUUUAAAAGAAUAUUUAAAAUUAAAUAAGACAUUUUAUUUCUCGGCUA